UAAAGCGCGCGUAGGUGGUUUGUUAAGUUGGAUGUGAAAUCCCCGGGCUCAACCUGGAACUGCAUCCAAAACUGGCAAGCUAGAGUAUGGUAGAGGGUGGUGGAAUUUCCUGUGUAGCGGUGAAAUGCGUAGAUAUAGGAAGGAACACCAGUGGCGAAGGCGACCACCUGGACUGAUACUGACACUGAGGUGCGAAAGCGUGGGGAGCAAACAGGAUUAGAUACCCCGGU
rnacentral:rRNA from 1 species